GUCCCUGUAGCUCAAUGGAAAGUGCGUUGGACUUCUAAUCCAAAGGUCGUGGGUUCGAAACCCACCUGGGAUG
rnacentral:tRNA from 1 species